rnacentral:rRNA from 1 species
AUUGAACGCUGGCGGCAUGCCUUACACAUGCAAGUCGAACGGUAACGGGCCUUCGGGUGCCGACGAGUGGCGAACGGGUGAGUAAUGCAUCGGAACGUACCUUUCAGUGGGGGAUAACGUAGCGAAAGUUACGCUAAUACCGCAUAUUCUGUGAGCAGGAAAGCAGGGGAUCGCAAGACCUUGCGCUGAUUGAGCGGCCGAUGUCAGAUUAGCUAGUUGGUGAGGUAAAGGCUCACCAAGGCGACGAUCUGUAGCGGGUCUGAGAGGAUGAUCCGCCACACUGGAACUGAGACACGGUCCAGACUCCUACGGGAGGCAGCAGUGGGGAAUUUUGGACAAUGGGGGCAACCCUGAUCCAGCCAUGCCGCGUGAGUGAAGAAGGCCUUCGGUUGUAAGACGUCUUUCGGUCCGGGAACGGAAAGUACG